AACGAACGCUGGCGGCAUGCCUAACACAUGCAAGUCGAACGAGACCUUCGGGUCUAGUGGCGCACGGGUGCGUAACGCGUGGGAACCUGCCCCUUGGUUCGGAAUAACAGUUAGAAAUGACUGCUAAUACCGGAUGAUGACUUCGGUCCAAAGAUUUAUCGCCGAGGGAUGGGCCCGCGUAGGAUUAGCUAGUUGGUGGGGUAAUGGCCUACCAAGGCGACGAUCCUUAGCUGGUCUGAGAGGAUGAUCAGCCACACUGGGACUGAGACACGGCCCAGACUCCUACGGGAGGCAGCAGUGGGGAAUAUUGGACAAUGGGCGAAAGCCUGAUCCAGCAAUGCCGCGUGAGUGAUGAAGGCCUUAGGGUUGUAAAGCUCUUUACCCGGGAUGAUAAUGACAGUACCGGGAGAAUAAGCUCCGGCUAACUCCGUGCCAGCAGCCGCGGUAAU
rnacentral:rRNA from 1 species